GCUUAGCUUGAGGAUUAGGCUUAAAGUUAGGUUUAAGCUUAGGCUUAGGCUUAGGCUUAGGCUUAGA
ensembl:ncRNA R05D7.9 ncRNA